CUGCCGGCAGUCGGUGUGCAGGGGCUGCCGUGAGCCGAGGGAGGAGCGGAGGCAUCGCCGGGCUGCGGCUGCACGGAGGGAGAAGGCCGCGCUGAGGACGUGGUUGCCCGUCCCUCCCUUGGGGAUGCCGUCGACUGCAGCCGCCUCGCCUGUGCCUGGCCUGGCUCGCCUCGUGGCGUGGGGGCGAAAAGGGACAGGCGGCGGAGCGCUUACCGGCCGUGGACAGGAGCUGCCCUAAGGGAAGCUGGAAUGGCCAGAGAAAGGUGAAGAAGAAGAAGAAGAGAUGGAAGGCUCUCCGGCCGGCAGCUGCCUCCCGCUGCAGGCAAGAGAGCGCCUGCCUCGCCGGGCGGAGGACAGCCGAGCGACCGGAGUGACAGCAAAGGAAAGGCGGAGAGCAGGAGAAAGAAGCGUCUGCGCUGGCAAGCUCUCCCGGCAGCGCCGAGAGCCAGAGCUGCGGUGAGUCCUGGGCCCGCGGGGCCCCAUCGCCUCUCCUCUGCGUCGCGGGCCCUCCUCUGCCCCCCUCGCUUUCCCACCCCGCCGUGGUUUGCUUUCUGCUCCCCGCUAUGUUCUUUUUCCAUCUCGCUCUGACGGGCUGCCUGUCCCCACCUUUUUCAGGUCCUCGCUCUCUCUGCCCCGUAGCCCGUGGCUAUUGUUUCCUUCUCUCUCUCCCUGUCUCUCUGUCCGGCCCCCAGCCACUGUUUCUGCAUUCCUCCCCCUCGGUCCUGUAGCCCGUCGGUAUUUCUGCCGUCUCUGGCGCUCUCUGUGCGGCUCCUCGUUCCUGUUGUUCGAGGUCUUCCUUCUCGGCUCCGUAGCGAGUCGUCGUGAGUCUCUCUCUUUCUCCGUCCCUCUCGAGCCUCUUCCCUGCCCCUCGUUUUGAAGGCCCGCCUCUCUGUCCCGGCACCCGUCGCUACGGUUCCUUUUCUCCGUCUCGCUCCCCGUCCCUGUUUUUCUAAAGUCUCCCCUCUCUGCCUCCUAGCCCGUCGGUACCUUUUUCUUUCCCCGUCGCGGUUCGUCUGGCUCCCUGUCCCUCUUUCUUUCUUUCUUCCUUCCUCCCUGUCUGCCCCGCAGCCCGGCCCUUCGUUCCUUUCUCCUUCCCUCUCUGUCCCUCUCCCGGUCCCCGGCUUUAAACUCUGCUUCUCUGCCCGGUAGCUCGCCACCGUCUUACCUUUCCCCGUCUCUCUCUCUGUCCAGCUCCCUCUCUCGAAUUUUCAAUUCCUCCCUGUCACUGCAGAAGCCUGUCGGGACUUUUUCCCCUGCCCGGCUUGCCUCUCCCCGUCUCGCGAUUCCUCCCUCUCUGCCCUCUUAGCCGCGACCGUUUUUAUAUUCUCCGUCUCUCUCUCGGUCCGCCUCGAGAU